rnacentral:lncRNA from 1 species
GUGUUUGUUUCCUUUCUUGCCCUGCUCACUCUGGGCUGUGGUGGCUUUUGCUGCAGCAGCUCUCAACCUGCCUGAGUCCCAACAGCUCGACACUUUAAUAAUUUAAGUGAUUUACAUUCCCCAAAGUGCAUCUGAACAGAUUUAUUAUGAGCGUUUGCGACCUGUUCCUCUGAAGCACUUCUCUGACGUCUGUUCUUCGCUGGAGUUCACCACCCAAGGCAGUUCACAGUGGUAAUUGGGAGCAUUUCCAUGAUUUUUCCAUGUUUUCCAUCCUACUUGAGAGCCGUGCUUGGAUGAGUCCAGCCCCAGACUGUCUCUCCUUGGCUGGCUGUAUCAAUUUGACCUGUGUUACAGUGUCCAUCCUUUGGGGAUACAGAAGAAAUCACUCCAGCAUUAUUCAACAACCUGGGCAGCACAUGGACUUCUGAUCAGAGUGAGUGUCUCUUUUUUUUAUCUCUCCCAAGAUUUUCUGAGGAAUG